rnacentral:rRNA from 1 species
UACGAAGGGGGCUAGCGUUGUUCGGAUUUACUGGGCGUAAAGCGCACGUAGGCGGAUUGGUCAGUUAGGGGUGAAAUCCUGGAGCUCAACUCCAGAACUGCCUUUAAUACUGCCAGUCUCGAGUCCGGAAGAGGUAAGUGGAACUCCUAGUGUAGAGGUGGAAUUCGUAGAUAUUAGGAAGAACACCAGUGGCGAAGGCGGCUUACUGGUCCGGUACUGACGCUGAGGUGCGAAGGCGUGGGGAGCAAACAGG